GACGAACGCUGGCGGCGUGCUUAACACAUGCAAGUCGAACGGAAAGGCCCUGCUUUUGUGGGGUGCUCGAGUGGCGAACGGGUGAGUAACACGUGAGUAACCUGCCCUUGACUUUGGGAUAACUUCAGGAAACUGGGGCUAAUACCGGAUAGGAGCUCCUGCUGCAUGGUGGGGGUUGGAAAGUUUCGGCGGUUGGGGAUGGACUCGCGGCUUAUCAGCUUGUUGGUGGGGUAGUGGCUUACCAAGGCUUUGACGGGUAGCCGGCCUGAGAGGGUGACCGGCCACAUUGGGACUGAGAUACGGCCCAGACUCCUACGGGAGGCAGCAGUGGGGAAUAUUGCACAAUGGGCGGAAGCCUGAUGCAGCAACGCCGCGUGCGGGAUGACGGCCUUCGGGUUGUAAACCGCUUUCGCCUGUGACGAAGCGUGAGUGACGGUAAUGGGUAAAGAAGCACCGGCUAACUACGUGCCAGCAGCCGCGGUGAUACGUAGGGUGCGAGCGUUGUCCGGAUUUAUUGGGCGUAAAGGGCUCGUAGGUGGUUGAUCGCGUCGGAAGUGUAAUCUUGGGGCUUAACCCUGAGCGUGCUUUCGAUACGGGUUGACUUGAGGAAGGUAGGGGAGAAUGGAAUUCCUGGUGGAGCGGUGGAAUGCGCAGAUAUCAGGAGGAACACCAGUGGCGAAGGCGGUUCUCUGGGCCUUUCCUGACGCUGAGGAGCGAAAGCGUGGGGAGCGAACAGGCUUAGAUACCCUGGUAGUCCACGCUGUAAACGGUGGGUACUAGGUGUGGGGUCCAUUCCACGGGUUCCGUGCCGUAGCUAACGCUUUAAGUACCCCGCCUGGGGAGUACGGCCGCAAGGCUAAAACUCAAAGGAAUUGACGGGGCCCCGCACAAGCGGCGGAGCAUGCGGAUUAAUUCGAUGCAACGCGUAGAACCUUACCUGGGUUUGACAUGGAUCGGGAGUGCUCAGAGAUGGGUGUGCCUCUUUUGGGGUCGGUUCACAGGUGGUGCAUGGCUGUCGUCAGCUCGUGUCGUGAGAUGUUGGGUUAAGUCCCGCAACGAGCGCAACCCUUGUUCACUGUUGCCAGCACGUUAUGGUGGGGACUCAGUGGAGACCGCCGGGGUCAACUCGGUGGAAGGUGGGGAUGACGUCAAGUCAUCAUGCCCCUUAUGUCCAGGGCUUCACGCAUGCUACAAUGGCUGGUACAGAGAGUGGCGAGCCUGUGAGGGUGAGCGAAUCUCGGAAAGCCGGUCUCAGUUCGGAUUGGGGUCUGCAACUCGACCUCAUGAAGUCGGAGUCGCUAGUAAUCGCAGAUCAGCAACGCUGCGGUGAAUACGUUCCCGGG
rnacentral:rRNA from 1 species